rfam:Rattus norvegicus chromosome 18, whole genome shotgun sequence.
GGGGAUUUAGCUCAGUGGUAGAGCGCUUGCCUUGCAAGUGCAAGGCCCUGGGUUCGGUCCCCAGCUCCG